rnacentral:rRNA from 1 species
GACGGAGGGUGCAAGCGUUGCUCGGAAUCACUGGGCGUAAAGGGUGCGUAGGCGGCUUCUUAAGUCUGACGUGAAAGCCCGGGGCUCAGCCUCGGAAGUGCGCUAGAAACUGAGGAGCUCGAGUGCCGGAGGGGAGAGUGGAAUUCCUGGUGUAGCGGUGAAAUGCGUAGAUAUCAGGAGGAAUACCGGUGGCGAAAGCGACUCUCUGGACGGCAACUGACGCUGAGGCACGAAAGCGUGGGGAGCAAACAGG